GCAUUAAUCUUUCUGUGGAGUUUUCCCUUCCGUUGUUGUUUAUUGAUAAUUAAACAUGGCUUCAUUUGCAAAGGUGGUUGUGUGUGUCCUGAUCGCUUGUGUCUGUAAUGCAUUCUGUUUUCCGAAGAGAGAUGUGAACUUUAAGGCCUCUGCAGUUGACCGCCAAAGUGAUGAUGUGGUUGUCACCACAACACCCGUUCCCCACAACCAGACCACAUCUGCCCAUACUGAAGCUGGCGGUGCAAGUGAAGAUGCUGUCGCUACUACCCCAGCACCUAAUCCACACAACCAGACAACUUCUGCACAAACUGAAGUUACUGAUGGAGCCAGUGAAGAUGCUGUGGACCGCCAAAGUGAUGAUGUGGUUGUGGCCACAACACCCGAUCCCCACAACCAGACCACAUCUGCCCAUACUGAAGCUGAUGGAGCCAGUGAAGAUGCUGUGGACCGCCAAAGUGAUGAUGUGGUUGUGGCCACAACACCCGAUCCCCACAACCAGACCACAUCUGCCCAUACUGAAGCUGGUGAUGGAGCAAGUGAAGAUGCUGUGGCUACCACCCCAACACCAAAUCCCCCAACUACAUCUGACCACACUGCAGCUACCGGUAAGGACAUCAGUGCCUGUCUGUUUUGAUGGAACACUUUGAAUGUUUGCGCCCCCCUUUUGACAGUGUCGCUUUCUGUUUGUGUGUAAUCGCAAGAUGAUGCAAGUGAGGGUGCUGUGGCUGCCCAAACUGGAACUACUGUAUCCCAUACGACUGAAGUCUGAUUCGACUGCUCCUCUGGUCACAAUGACCUGAGUCACUGUCUGGACUUUUUGCCUCUACAUGUUGACUGCAAUAAAGGACAGAUUU
ensembl:lncRNA